GGCCUUGGCUAUGGGAGUUUGUGACAAUGUGAGUGUUUCUGGGACAGGUUUGUGACCUAAGCUUGCCCAGUCAGAAGGAAUCUUAGGAUACUUGCAGAGAUUGCUGAGUCAAAGACAUGCUCUUUUGCUAUGGAAAGUAUAGCAUGUGCAUGUGAAACUUGGAACUGUGAAUAUCAUCUUGCUGUGAUGAAGGAAACCUGGCUGAGAAUGAAGCUGACAUAAGGAAGUAAAAAAAAAAAGGUACAAUGAUAGACAAACAGAACGAGAGUCUUGAUCAAAUUAUGCCUAAAAUCUGUUACCUUCUGUGUUCUUCAUAUUUGUGAACCAAUAUGUUGCCUAUAUUGUUUGCUAUUACUUUUUGGCCCUUAUAUUCUAAGUCAGGUUUGGGAUGGAU
rnacentral:lncRNA from 10 species